GACACGAGUUACAGUUUCAUAUGUACGAAGGUCGUGACAAGCGUUAUAGCGCGGUAUUUGGCCUAAGGCAACAUGUAAUAACGAGGAUGUGCAGAUAGUUAGAAGAAACCAGUGGCGGCUGUGAAAUUCAGUGUUCCUCUACCAGGAAGAAGAUUACAAUGCUUACGUACAGGAAUAUCAAAGAGCUGUCCACGGCGCAUUUAAACUAUGGUGUGAGUGGAUGUAGUUUCAGAAAAGGACAUUUAUCGAUAGGAGAGAUAGAAGAACCCACUGUAGUGAGAAGAUAUCUACAUAAGGAAUCGGGGACAGUUUACGGUGUGGAUAUAGCGUGUGGUGUCCCUGUGCAAGAUAGUCGGGGUGGACGUGGUGUGAUGUAGACAACGUCACUGACAACAUCGUUGGGACUAACACCGAGACAAUGGCCGCUUGGCUUACCGUAUGGAUAUUAUUGUGUGAAUUUAUCGUGCUAGCUUUUGGACAGGCCAAAUACUUUGGAACGUCGCAAAACUACGUGUGUCACUGCCAGGAUGGAUGGGGCAACUUCAAUAUGGUAUUUAUGUUACAGUAAUCCUGAGUCAGUGGAGACUGUGGAAGAAGUGGCUGCCAACCUGGAUGGAUGGGGCCUAGCUGUCAAUAUGUUAAUCACGCGGCUGAGGGGACAGCCUCUCUGUCCUCAGGAACUCCUUCAAAAGUCAAUGAUGGUAGAGAUGAUAUUUGUACGUACACAAAUUAUGAAAGAGAACAUACAGUCGGUGUUUCUUUUACUGACAAACGAUGGAUUACAGAAAUGCAGAUAACUACACAAAGGACUCAAUAUGCCGGAACAAUUGAAAAUGUGGUGGUUGAGGGAGAAGUUGGUGGACAUCAGACAGUUUGUAGUUCGCCUUACUCCAGUAAUGACGGCUUGGUGUUCAACAUUGUGUGCGACAGACCGAUCCUGGCUACUACCAUCACAGCCACGCUUACACUCACUACAUCCUCUUAUGUAUAUGUAUGUGAAGUGCGCCUUAAUGGAGGUAUCAACAUUGCUGUGAAGAAACCAACGAAUCAAACAUCAAACUAUAGCGAAAGUUGGAGGGCAUAUUCGUCGGACCUGGCAGUAGAUGGGAAUACACAGUCGACAUUUGAGGGCAACUCGUGUGCUCACACUAGUGCAGAGUGUGAUACCGAUUAUAGAGUCCACUGGACCCUUAAUCUGGAAGCAUCAUACGUACCUCUGAUGAUAAGGAUAUAUAAUAGAACACCUAAAUCUACCUUCACCCGCCUUCUAUCUGGAUUCAGCCUGCAAGUAGUAUCUAGCGGCAGCACUAUUUGGGAAAACAUCUACACUGAUACAUCCGCGGAUCCAGGGGAGAUCAUUCGUCUUGUCUCCAGCAGCUUCAACUUCAUCCAUCUUCUGAGGGUCACAACACCAAAGUGUCAAACCUUGGCCCUUUGUGAAGUUCAGAUGUUUACAGUUUGUCCUGACUUCCGGUACGGGUUUGACUGCUCCUUGUCAUGUCGCUGUAAGGACCAGGCUGAGGUGUGUGAGAAGAUGACCGGAUCCUGCAGCUCAGGAUGCCCUGCUGGGUUUACUGGGAGGGCCUGCACAGAGGAAUGCCAGAGUGGUUUCUAUGGGGACAACUGUCAACAGGAAUGUAUUCAAUGCUUGGAUAAGAAAUGUGGUAAAGCUGAUGGCCAAUGUACAGAAGGCUGUGCUGCAGGAUGGGUUCCAUCGGGGCAGCCCUGGUGUACAGAAGAAUGCCCCAAUGGAUCCUUUGGCUUGAACUGUGCUUCUCGCUGCCGCUGUCUGAACAGUUCCGAGACAUGUGACAAGAUCAGUGGACACUGUCAAACUGGAUGUGCAGCUGGCUUUACUGGCAGUGGAUGUCAGACACAAUGUUCACAAGGGUGGUUUGGAGUGAAUUGCCAAGAAUCAUGUGGAACGAAUUGUAAAAACAAUGUAUGCGAUGGCGAGACGGGCGUCUGUACCGACGGAUGCGAAGCUGGAUACACCGGAGAUAAGUGCGGUGAACAAUGUCGAGAAGAUUUCUAUGGCGAAAACUGCAGUGAGAAAUGCAGUGAGAACUGUACCCCGAGGUCGGCUGGACGAGCCUGCAGACUAAGGAGCGGCACCUGUCGGUCUGGUUGUCAGCCCGGCUGGACAAGCAGUUAUUGCAACACAAAAUGUCGCCCUGGCUGGUACGGAUCAGGAUGUUACAGCCGAUGUAGCUACAGUUGUCUGAAUAGUAGCUGUCACCAUGUUAAUGGAAGCUGUACAUUCGGCUGUGUGGCCGGCAGACAAGGGGACACUUGCCAGGAUGAUUGUGCGUUGGGUUUUUAUGGCGAAUCCUGCAAAUUCCCCUGCAGUGUUGGCUGCCGAGACAAACAGAGAUGUUAUUCCAGAACAGGGAAUUGCGAGAAUGGCUGUGGACCAGGCUGGCUAGGGGACAAAUGUACAGAAAAGUGCCCUAACGGGACCUUUGGUGAUCGCUGCAGUUCUCGGUGCAACAGCAACUGCAACAGCGGUGUAUGCAACAAUGUAAACGGGGAGUGUUCUCAAGGGUGUGUUCCCGGAUUCAUGGGAUCACAGUGCAAUGACGAAUGUUCGAAUGGAACGUACGGCCCCGGAUGUAGGGAGGAAUGCAGUGAGGGAUGUUUGGAUGGCAUAUGCGGCGGGUCGGACGGGAAAUGCCAGUGUUACGACGGCUGGCGGGGAGACAGGUGCCAUUUAGACUGUGAGCCGGGGUUCUAUGGUAGCGCCUGUGCAGUGUCUUGCAGUCCGAACUGUGCAGGGUCAGUGUGUGGCAGGUCGACCGGACUGUGCUCCAGCUGCCAGUCAGGGUGGACAGGAGAAACAUGCCAGCAAGCUGAGGGUAUGGGGAUACCUGCUAUAGCUGGGAUCGCUGUAGCUGCCCUUCUCAUCAUUCUCCUUGCAGUCAUCAUCGCGGUCGUUUUAGUCAGACGGAAAUCUGGACGUAAAGAAGAACAAGGUGUUCGGGAUGACAACACUCCCGCCGCCACAAGCCACUCAGUUAAAAUGAUAACAAUCAACAAAUCCUCAAAUGCGACAACCUCCAAGAAAGAGGGGUCAUCCCAGAUUUCCCUCCUGGGAACAGCAACUGAAAACAACGUGGACGGUGCUGGCGAGGUGUACUACAACAUAGCAUCUACAUCCCGAUCAGCUACAGCAGUGUCCUUAGUGGACUUCCCAGAGUACGUCCGAAAGUGGCGGUCACAGAAACAACACCUUUUUGACGAAUUUCAGAAACUUCCGAAGGAUCUUAUCAACGACCACAGUAUCGCCUUUGCUGCUCACAACAUCAAGAAAAACAGAUACAAGAACAUAUGUGCAUUUGACCACUCGAGGGUAGUUUUGCAGACUGACCCCCAGGACCCCGGGGUUGGGGACUACAUCAACGCUUGCUACAUCGAUACCCCAAAGAAGAAGAAAGCAUUCAUCGCAGCACAAGGUCCGAACGAACCCAUUCUCAACGAUUUUGUACGGAUGUUGUGGGAGCAUGACGUUACGCGAGUUGUCAUGCUGACGAAUCUAUUUGAGGAGGGGAAGCAAAAAUGCAACCAGUACUGGCCUGACAAGGGCGAUCAGAUGUUUGGGAAGGUAUCCGUCAGCAUUAGAGACACACAACAACAUGCUGACUAUACCAUCCGGAAGUUCGCCUUAAAAAAAGACGGAUGCAAAGCACGAUCAGUGACACAGUACCACUACACGGCGUGGCCAGACAAGGGGGUACCGAGGUCACCUUGGUCCCUCCUCGACUUUCGGGACAAGGUGAUGAACUUCCGGACGGCCAGUGAUAGUCCUGUCGUCGUCCACUGCAGGGAUAGGACGAACGGGUACAUUUAUAGCUCUCCAGUAUCUGAAGGAGGAGGCGGAACUCAGCGCCUUGCAGGAUGUGUACACGUGCGUAUGGAACCUCCGACAUCAACGUGUCAAUAUGGUGCAAACCAAGAACCAAUACGUCUUCAUUCACGAGGCAGCUCUGGUCUCUUUGAUAUUAACGAAAAGUGUGUUCACAGUGAACGAGUUCCGUCAAAAGUACGACAGUCUUGUCAACGACCAACAACGUUUACAGAAGGAGUUUCAGACCCUGCAAGGCUACCCGGUCUGUGACACUGAAGGGGAAUACAACAGAGCACUGAACAACAGUGAAAAGAACAGAUGCGAUACGAUAUUAGCAGGAGAUUCGUCUCGAGCAAUCCUGAUGCCACGCGCAGAAUACGACGACAUGGGCGGCACGUACAUCAACGCCGUCUUCCUACCU
rnacentral:misc_RNA from 1 species